GACAGAGGGUGCAAGCGUUAAUCGGAGUUACUGGGCGUAAAGGGCGCGUAGGCUGGUAUUUAAGUCGAUUGUGAAAUCCCUGGGCUUAACCUAGGAAUUGCAGUCGAUACUGAAUAUCUUGAGUAUGGUAGGGGAAAGUGGAAUUCUCGGUGUAGUGGUUAAAUACGUAGAUAUCGAGAAGAACAUCGGUGGCGAAGGCGGCUUUCUGGCCCAAUACUGACGCUGAGGCGCGAAAGCGUGGGGAGCAAACAGG
rnacentral:rRNA from 1 species